rnacentral:rRNA from 1 species
AUUGAAUGCUGGCGGCAGGCUUAACACAUGCAAGUCGAGCGGAGAGAGGUAGCUUGCUACUGAUCUUAGCGGCGGACGGGUGAGUAAUGCUUAGGAAUCUGCCUAUUAGUGGGGGACAACAUUUCGAAAGGAAUGCUAAUACCGCAUACGUCCUACGGGAGAAAGCAGGGGAUCUUCGGACCUUGCGCUAAUAGAUGAGCCUAAGUCGGAUUAGCUAGUUGGUGGGGUAAAGGCCUACCAAGGCGACGAUCUGUAGCGGGUCUGAGAGGAUGAUCCGCCACACUGGGACUGGGACACGGCCCAGACUCCUACGGGAGGCAGCAGUGGGGAAUAUUGGACAAUGGGCGGAAGCCUGAUCCAGCCAUGCCGCGUGUGUGAAGAAGGCCUUAUGGUUGUAAAGCACUUUAAGCGAGGAGGAGGCUACUUUAGUUAAUACCUAGAGAUAGUGGACGUUACUCGCAGAAUAAGCACCGGCUAACUCUGUGCCAGCCGCCGCGGUAACAC